UCCAGAAAUAGGUGAUUGACUCCUUUCUUAUUGCCAGUAGACGAGUAUGCCUUUCUGUUUCUUUUCUGGCCUGUCACGCUCAACAUCACAUCUGCGCCGAAAACUGGGUUAGUAAACAUUCGAAAGCCGCAUGGAGGCCAGUGAAAAUGUUACAGUGGUUGCUUCUUUUUUGUAUCUGUUACUUAUUCAGUCUCUCUUUCAAACUCGGUGUCGACUAAUUUCGAACAAUGUCCAAGCGUUGCUUGGGUGGAGACGGACAGUAUUUGUGGCCGAGAUGACAAAAGUUACCAGUGGCGGCGACACCCGUCUUUCCAUCGCGCCGGAAAAGGGGCUAAAAUUACCGUGUCCACCUGGGUGUUACGUUUCCAUCACUGCCAUCAGAGCUGGAGCCGCUAUUGGCACGAUUGAACUUCCAAGUCAUCUUACCUGCACGUCUUUGCACUCUGGGAGGAAAUCAAUGCACAGAGUCAAACAGGCUAUUUUGAGACAAGGCUGUGGAACCCACUGCCUUUAGCCCCCAUCACCCGGCACUCUCAGGGGGUUUACCAGGGUCCCCUGGCCUUCUGGUGCUGACAUUUAGACCCACAUGAAUCAAUGAGACAAGCUGUGGAGGGACGCCUGAAUUUCACAGCAGUAACCCUUGCAGUUCACAUUUAGCCCAUGCCAUGUACAGGCAGAAGGGUUGCAGGGUCUUUGAGACAUUUUUAGCCUGAUUUCUCCUUGUGCAGAUUUGUAAAACAAGGCAAGGCAAUAAUGGGAAAAGAUCCCUGUUCGGACAAAAUCUA